CUCGUUUUCACUGACAAGCGGUACAUGACCAUGUGCCAGUUAGGCCGCAGAGAGAGGCUCGCUUGUUGGCAGCACGGUUUGAUUGUGGGUCAAAAAUCCAGCAGAGCAAGUUUGUAGUAAGGUCUAGUUACAUUUACAUUUUAGUCAUUUAGCAGACACUCUUAUCCAGAGCGACUUACAUUAGUGAGUGCAUACAUUUCAUUAAAAAAAAUUGUACUGGCCCCCUGUGGGAAUCAAACCCACAACCCUGGCGUUGCACACACCAUGCUGGCAUUGCAAACACCAUGCUCUAACAACUGAGCCACAGGGAAGACCAGUUAUUCAAUUGCUAAAUAGUAAUAUACUCUAAAACGCUCUGGUGACAAACAAACUUCACUGCCCUGUUUCCAAUCGUCCACAUGGCUGGGAGAACCUAUUCAAGAAGAUACCUUGUAACUGGUGAUUCCUUCAAAACGAUUUCCUACAGUUACGUGUAGGGCACUGCAAGGUUGGGUGACCAGGGCCAUCUGGGACUGCCUCCUGGAGGAAUUCAGGUGUGUGUGAAGGCUACCUGUGUCCUGCAUAACUUCAUGAGGAUGGACACAAGGACCAGGAGGGGAUCUGCAGCUCGCCGCCGCGUGCCAGAGUAGAAGUCUGCUGCUCUGCAGGAUGUUUCAAGGAUGGGGUCCAACAACGUAGCAAGAGAGGCAAUCCGUGUGCAAGAGAUCUUCACCUCCUACUUCUUCGAAGAGGGUGCUGUUCCCUGGCAACACCAUAGACUACACUAUGCACAACCAAAGGCUCUUUUAAGAGCUAUUCACAUUGCAAUAAGAGUAUUCUUCCAUUUACUGAGCUAUGUCAACUGCAGUUAUUCAAUUCUCAGUUUCUCUCCCUUUGAUUUCUACUUCUCAUGUGAGGGUGCUAUUUAGUAAGCAGGUUCAGGUGUAUAACUGUGGCUCCUUCCACCUUCAAAUAAUAGGCAAGAGGGACAACCGUGGAGAAUAGUUAUAUCAGCUGUGGUUCGUGAACCCCUACUGCAUCUGAACUGGCUGACAGAGAGGGCACAGCAUGAUCAGAGGUAUGAUUUGAUGUGAGGAUGCCAACCCCCAGUCCCGUCAUCGCCACCUCACCCGCUCUUAAGACAACCUUCGGUCCGACGAG
rnacentral:lncRNA from 1 species